AUUGAACGCUGGCGGCAUGCUUUACACAUGCAAGUCGAACGGCAGCACGGGGGCAACCCUGGUGGCGAGUGGCGAACGGGUGAGUAAUGCAUCGGAACGUACCCAGUCGUGGGGGGCAACGUAGCGAAAGUUACGCUAAUACCGCAUACGACCUGAGGGUGAAAGCAGGGGAUCGCAAGACCUUGCGCGAUUGGAGCGGCCGAUGUCAGAUUAGCUAGUUGGCGGGGUAAAGGCUCACCAAGGCGACGAUCUGUAGCGGGUCUGAGAGGAUGAUCCGCCACCCUGGGACUGAGACACGGCCCAGACUCCUACGGGAGGCAGCAGUGGGGAAUUUUGGACAAUGGGGGCAACCCUGAUUCAGCCAUGCCGCGUGCGGGAAGAAGGCCUUCGGGUUGUAAACCGCUUUCGGACAGAAAGAAAUCGCAUGGGCUAAUACCCUGUGUGGAUGACGGUACUGUAAGAAGAAGCACCGGCUAACUACGUGCCAGCAGCCGCCGUAAAAC
rnacentral:rRNA from 1 species